rnacentral:lncRNA from 1 species
UCUAACUCCUGGGCUCAACUGAUCUACCCACCUCAGCCUCUCAAAGUGUUGGGAAUACAGACAGAAGCCACUGCGCCUAUCCUGUAAUGCCACUUUCUUUCAUGAAAACAAGGGCGGCAGAUAGAAGAUGUCUGGAAAUUCUUUGCUGUUUCUCCCAUUGAGAGGUGUGGACACAUUGAGAAGUCACUAUCUAUGAACUAGGAAGCAGGAUCUCACCAGACAUCGAAUCUGCUGAUGCCUUCAUCUUGGACUUCUCUCUCAGCCUCCAGAACUGUGAGAAAUAAAGUCCUGUUGUUUAUAAGCC